CCCUCAGGAUCCAUUAUUCAAAGAAAAUCUAUAAUAUUUUUACGGGAUUUUAAGAUGUCUACCCGUCUGCACUUUCAGGUAUUAACAUACUAUAUAUAUCGAGGAAGAUAACCGCACUAUCUUCCCAUGAAGUAAUACUUAGUCCAGUGGUCCCGUGGGAGAGACAUGAAAUGGGAGUGGGUUAGGUUUAGCGGAUUAAAGGCCUGCACUUCGGCUUUCGAUGCUUCCUCCUACUAUAAAAAAGUAAUAUAUUCAAAGCUUUCCAAAAUUACUGAAGAAAUUUUAGUGAGGUUUAACUGACAGGAAUUAUUGCAACGAAGUGUGGAACUGAGUUUCAAGCUGAAUCAGUAGAUAGUCUGUGUAUUCUGUCCGAGUUUUGGGAGCACCAGAGAUUGAUAAAAGGUAUGCUAUAAAAGGUAGAAAGGGAAGCUACUAGGGAGCAGGAAACAGCAAUGAUAUAACUGGAAUGAGUAGAGAGGAACAAAGUUUGAAGAUUAAAAGUGGAAACAAUGCUCUUGAUUAUAAUAAAAUCCAAGUCUGGAGUUAAAGAACAUAAAAAGUUGGAAAACCUUUCAAAUAUACAUACCUACGGACAAAAGUAUGUAUGUAUGUACAUAUUCAUGUCAGACAAAUAUUGACAAAGCUUCAUGAUGACACGCGGCUGUCAGCGCAGCUUUUGUCACCCCUGACAUCAUCAAUGACGCCAGUCUACCUGUGAGCACUUGCCUUUAUGCGCCAAUUUUCCGUUCGUCAUGCCAUCAUACAUUCAGCUGUCACCGACGCCGACUUGUCUGACAGUUGAUUAUCGUUAUGUUGUCAUAGCCAGACAACACCUGCGCAGGCAAAAUUUCACAGCAAGCAAAUUUGAAGAGAUUUUAAAUUCAAAUAAUAUUUCGGUAGGUGAAUAAGUAAUGCGACACAAUAGCCUUCAAUGAGAGACCUCCUUUUGAUGACGACCUCUGCAAACGUAUUACCGAUUACGAUUUACGGUCAUGGACCUGGAAGGCGCUUUAUGCUUUAUGACACGUUACGAGGUUUGAGCUGAGCCCCUCGAGUUAGUCUACUUCGAUAUUGUAGAUCCGGCUGUAAUAUCUAUAAAUAUAUUCCAGUACAACGCUCUAAAAAUGUCUAUAUGUAGACGCAAACUCUCCGGUCCCGAAGAAAAUGAGUCAGCAAAAUAUAAGCCAAAUAGCGGAGGCGUCCCUGGAUGCAGGGAGAGUAGAAAAUGGCCUGCAAUAGGUCCAUCUGAGAAUACUUGCAACCCGGGGCGAAGAAAAGAUCAAUGGUAGAAGAGGCAGUGUUUUAGUGGGUACACAACUCAGAUAAGAUGACGA